GCCUGGGUGGCUCAGUCGGUUAAGCAUCUGACUUUGGCUCAGAUCAUGAUCUCACUGGCUCGUGAAUUCAAGCCCCACAUCGGGCU
rnacentral:tRNA from 1 species